UACGUAGGUGACAAGCGUUGUCCGGAUUUACUGGGCGUAAAGAGCGCGCAGGCGGUCGUUCAAGUCGAGUGUGAAAGCCCCCGGCUCAACUGGGGAGGGUCAUUCGAUACUGAUCGACUCGAAGGCAGGAGAGGGAAGUGGAAUUCCCGGUGUAGUGGUGAAAUGCGUAGAUAUCGGGAGGAACACCAGUGGCGAAGGCGACUUCCUGGCCUGUUCUUGACGCUGAGGCGCGAAAGCUAGGGGAGAAAACGGG
rnacentral:rRNA from 1 species